CAUGCUCUUCUCUAAAUCUAUCUUUUGGUAAGUCAUCUGGAUUUUAUUCUAUCUUCAAUGUACAUUUCAUUUGCCUCACAAUUUGUAAGUUUUCAGGAAGAUGGAAAAGACAUCUUCCAAUUGUACUGUCGUUUUCAGGCACAAGCUGGUUUCGAGGACCAGAGCCUCCUAAGAAGAAGAAGGGAAGAACAGAGAAGAAGAGGAAAAGAUUACUAGCAUAACAGAAUUGGUAUUGCUGUCCCCUGAGGCUCGACAAACAUCUCAGCAGAUCCUUCUAAUCCAGCUCAGCUUGGUCAUGCAUAAUCCUUCAGGUAUGCAGGCUUGUUGAUGGUCCUCUUUGGCUUUCCUUCUUGCACCUCCUUGUUGCUGGCUUUACUCUUAGUUACUCUCUGCACCUCUCUUUCUGUAUCAAUAAUCAAUUAUCUUAUUUACAUUAUUGGUUAUGUAAAGCACUAGAACUUGUGGGUUGUCAAUAUAAUUAAUUAUGCUUAUAUCAUAAUCGAUUAUGCUGUCAAAUAAAAUUGCAUAAUUGAUUAUGUAAUUUUCAAAAUCAAUUAUGAGCAUAAUUCUCAAAACAAUUUGUCCAGUAACCUUUGGAAAACAUGUGUGAAUAUAUUGGAGGUAA